GACGAACGCUGGCGGCAUGCUUAACACAUGCAAGUCGAACGGAAAGACCCUGCUUUCGCCGGGUGCUCGAGUGGCGAACGGGUGAGUAACACGUGAGUAACCUGCCCUUUACUUUAUGAUAACUUCAGGAAAGUGUUACUAAUACAGAAUAGGUGCUCCUGAUUCAUGGUGGUGUUUGGACCUUUCGGGCGGAUGUGGAUGUACGUCGGGUUAAUUAGUUUGUUGGUUGAGUAGUGGCUAACGAGGGGUUUGAUGGGUAGCCGGCCUGAGAGGGUGACCGGGCACAUGGGGACUGAGAUACGGCCCAGACUCCUACGGGAGGCAGAAGUGGGGAAUAUUGCACAAUGGGCGGAAGCCUGAUGCAGCAACGCCGCGUGCGGGAUGCCGGCCUUCGUGUUGUAAACCGCAUUCGCCUGUGACGAAGCGUGAGUGACGGUAAUGGGAGAAGAAGCACCGGCUAACUACGUG
rnacentral:rRNA from 1 species